rnacentral:misc_RNA from 1 species
AAGUCGUAACAAGGUUUCCGUAGGUGAACCUUCGGAAGGAUCAUUACCGAAGUGCAGCGGGGGCAGACGGCCGCAAGGUCGCCGGCCGCCGCGUACACGCAUUCCACCACCCUUGACUUUGAGCACCGUUAUGUUUCCUCGGCAGGGACGCCUGCCAGCGGGGACCCAUCGAACACUUGCAGUAGCAGUAUUUGUCUGAGAAUAAACACAAAAAUCAAAACUUUCAACAAUGGAUCUCUUGGUUCUG